rnacentral:snRNA from 1 species
UGAUUUACUUGGCAAGGGAGAUGCCACGAUGACGAAGGUGGUUUCCCCGGGCAAGGCUGGUGCACUGCACUGGGGACCCACUAAGCUCUGCAAUUUUCCCACAUGGGGGAAACCCAACUGCAUAAUUUGUGUUGGUGGGGGAUUGUGCGCACGCUUCCCCCUA